rnacentral:rRNA from 1 species
AGCGAACGCUGGCGGCAGGCCUAACACAUGCAAGUCGAACGAACUCUUCGGAGUUAGUGGCGGACGGGUGAGUAACACGUGGGAACGUGCCUUUUGGUUCGGAAUAACUCAGGGAAACUUGUGCUAAUACCGAAUGUGCCCUUCGGGGGAAAGAUUUAUCGCCAUUAGAGCGGCCCGCGUCUGAUUAGCUAGUUGGUGAGGUAACGGCUCACCAAGGCGACGAUCAGUAGCUGGUCUGAGAGGAUGACCAGCCACACUGGGACUGAGACACGGCCCAGACUCCUACGGAAGGCAGCAGUGGGGAAUCUUGCGCAAUGGGCGAAAGCCUGACGCAGCCAUGCCGCGUGAAUGAUGAAGGUCUUAGGAUUGUAAAAUUCUUUCACCGGGGACGAUAAUGACGGUACCCGGAGAAGAAGCCCCGGCUAACUUCGUG